rnacentral:lncRNA from 10 species
AAUCUUUUUUUUUUUUUGAGACAGAGUUUCGCUCUUGUGACCUAAGCUGGGGUGCAGUGAUGCGAUCUCGGCUCACUGCAACUUCCGCCUCCCACGUUCAAGCAAUUCUCCUACCUCUGCCUCCCGAGUAGCUGGGGUUACAGGCAUGCACAUCCUGGCUAACACGGUGAAACCCCAUCUCUACUAAAAAUACAAAAAACUAGCCAGGUGUAGUGGCGGACGCCUGAGUCCCAGCUACUCCGGAGGCCGAGGCAGAGUGGCUUGAACCUGGGAGACGGAGUUUGCAGUGAGCCGAGACCACGCCACUGCACUCCAGCCUGGACGUCAGAGUGAGACUCCAUCUCAAAAAAAAAAAAAAAAAAGCCAGGUGUGGUGGCAGGUGCCUUUAAUCCCAGCUACUCGGGAAGCUGAGGCAGGAGAAUCACUUCAACCGGGGAGGCAGAGGUUGCAGUAAGCUGAGA